GGGGAUGUAACGGAUUCGACGGGGUGACUGAAUCCACAAGCAGCAUGUCGAGCUCAAUCGGUGGCGCUCGUAAAUUCAACCGGUAAAUAAAAAACGCAGAUUAUAACUACGCAUUAGCUGCGUAAUUCAAAAGGCAGCUAACAUCCGGCAGAGAUUGUGCCUGUCCGCUUUCUUUCGGGUGUCGCAAAAAGACAGGAUGGCUUGAAUCAUUUCUCCUGGGAUUCAGGCGAGAUAAUAGGAGAUAACGGUAUGACUCCUGUCGUUUGGACAAGCAUACUGCGAAAAUCAAAAAACGACUAAACAUGUAGUGGCUUUGGGUAAUGCUCUUCGGACGCGGGUUCAACUCCCGCCAUCUCCACGA
rfam:Ignavibacteria bacterium RIFOXYC2_FTLL_35_21 rifoxyc2_full_scaffold_2525, whole genome shotgun sequence.